rnacentral:snoRNA from 1 species
UAGCAAGCCUCCAGCGUGCUAGGGUCUGCCGUGACCUGUGCAUUCCUACAGUGCUUGCCAGAACAGUUUUGAGAUGGUUUGAGGCCUUGCCCUGCUUCCUCCAGAGCAAGGUUAUAGAAAUUUCAGACAGUU